GCUUGUGGGCCUUGGGCCCAAGCCCAUUAAACAAACCCUAUGUAUUUAAAGGUGGAAAACCCUAGUUUCCACAAUUUACAUCAGCCGCUCCCAUGUUUUGUUCUCUCUCAAAUGUGUUGAACCGUACCUUCUACCAUUUGGAAUCACUAAUCAAAUGAGAGCAUACAAACAUAAAACCAACAAAUCAACUAUCCCUUUCAUUCUUCAUCAUCAGUUAUACACACACAGACAACGACACCCCUUCCUCGCCCUACCUUCCAGCAACAACACACACCCCUUUUUCAACCCCUGCUACCCCCUUUCUCUCGAUGGCAGACCGGCGGCCGGCAACCAGGUGAACCGGCGAGUUGGGUGGGGGGGUAUGACAGACGAGAGAUAGAGUUCAGGAGGUAUAGAGAGAUCGAAGAGAGAAGGAUGGCGGCGGCAGUUAGAUCAGUUUCUCCGGCGACUCGCCGGUGUUCAUAUUGAAGGUUUGAAGAUGAUAAUUUUCCCGGUGGCGGAGAGGGUAGUGGAGCCACGGUGGUGAUGGUGGUGGCGGUCGACAAGACACAGCGGCAGUGGCAGCGGUGAUAGAUGGUUCCGGGUUUAGUCGGGUUUCUGUUCAGGAGCUUCGGGGUAGUUGGUUGAGAUUCAUGUGUUCGGGUUUUCGGGUUUCAAGCUCGGCUCAGUUCUGAUGUCUGUUCAAGUGUUAUGAACCAGAUUUAGUAAAAAAAAAAAAAAAAAAUUCGGGAUUCGAGUCUUGUUCAGGUUCAGUCAACUUCGGAUGUGGGUGUGGUACGGUCGACUCGGUAAACUGAGUCGACUCUGUCAACACGGUCGGUCUGAGUUAAUUCAGCUCGGGGCGAGUCAAUACAGUUCGAUUCGGGUCAUCUCAGUUCGGGUGUGGUCAAAACCGGUCAGACAGUCAACGGAUGGGUUCGGUUCAGGGUUCGGUUUCGGGUCACGGUUCACGUCAGUUAUGUUUCGGGUUCACAUCGGGUCCGAUUCGGUUUGAGUUUCGGUUCAACAGUCAAACGGGUUUUGGUUCGAGAUCGAUCAAGCUCAGAUCGGGUUCAACACGUUCAGCAACUCAGUCAACACCCGAGUCAACUCGGUCAACAGCGAGUCAACCAAGUCAAAAUGGUCAAACUUGGUCAACGGUAGUCAGUCAAGACCCGGAAUGUCGUAAUUGCACGCUAGCGAGUUCAUGUUCUUGGAACGACAUCACGCAAUCAUACUAAGCUAGCUUUGCACAGGAAUGUCAAGGUUACAUUUUCAAAACUACGGAACGGUUGGAAUAGGAGAACCCACGGGAAUUCGAGUA